UUUUUUUUUUUUUUUUUUUUUUUUUUUUUUUUUUUUCCAA
rnacentral:ribozyme from 13 species